CCCUUAGACGUUCUGGGCCGCACGCGCGCUACACUGACCAGUGCAACAAGCAUCCGUCCUUGGCCGACAGGCUCGGGCAAUCUUUGAACGCUGGUCGUGAUGGGGAUAGACUUUUGCAAUUUUUGGUCUUCAACGAGGAAUUCCUAGUAAACGCAAGUCAUCAACUUGCAUUGAUUACGUCCCUGCCCUUUGUACACACCGCCCGUCGCACCUACCGAUUGAAUGGUCCGGUGAAGCCUCCGGAUUGGCGCGCACCUCGGUGCCGCCGAGAAGUUGGCUAAACCUUGCCAUUUAGAGGAAGGUGAAGUCGUAACA
rnacentral:rRNA from 1 species